UAGGGAAUCUUCCACAAUGGGCGAAAGCCUGAUGGAGCAACGCCGCGCGUGUGAUGAAGGGUUUCGGCUCGUAAAACACUGUUGUAAGAGAAGAAUGACAUUGAGAGUAACUGUUCAAUGUGUGACGGUAUCUUACCAGAAAGGAACGGCUAAAUACGUGCCAA
rnacentral:rRNA from 1 species